UCUAAUUCCUUUGUUAUCCAU
rnacentral:siRNA from 1 species